CAUGACAUGACAUCAAAUCCAGUAACUGCAAGGUUUAUCGAUGCACAAAAUUUCAGUGAUUGACCAAAUGGAUUGUCCUUAGAGAUUCAACUUUGGAGAUUCGCCACAUGAUUCCAUCAUGUUGAAGCGUGGAUACAAAUCAAAGGCAUGGAGUGGUGCUCAAAAUUGCCGGGUCCCGGUGGUUGUUAUGUCUCUUACAUUGAUGCUAAUGCUGGUGAUUCUCUUUUUGGUAUUUCGUAAUGAUAAUGGUGGUGAAAAACCCAGUUUAGCUUAUGAACUUCCUAAGCUAAAGUGGAAUAGCUUUGACUCAUUGGUGCAAUUGCAUCCAACGAGAGAAUUCCGGAAUGGAACAGAUUUGAUAUGGCAAGUACCUGAAUCACCUAAGGGUGUUCUCUUUGUGGCUCAUGGAUGCAAUGGCAGGGCCAUCAACUUUUGGGAUCAAUCCCCUGAAUGUCCUGAUUGCAUUGGUUUGCCUGAAGAACGACUACUUGUACUUCAUGGUCUUGCCCGAGGCUUUGCUGUUAUUACAAUUUCAAGUGCAAGAAGAUGUUGGACAUAUGGUAAGGAAGUGUUAGUUGUUAAAGAUAUUAUAAAAUGGUGGAUUGGUGGAAGGAAGCUUGAAAAAUUACCUAUUGUGGCUUUGGGUGCUUCUUCUGGAGGGUAUUUUGUAUCUGCGCUUGCCACCGCUAUGAAGUUUAAUAGUAUUGUGCUCAUGAUUGCUGAGGGGAUGUUUGGGGAAAUGGAUAUUAAAGGGGACUACCCGCCUACCCUUUUUGUUCACAUGCCCAAAGAUCUUUAUAGGCAGCAGAAAAUAGAUGAAUAUACGAAGAUUUUAAAAGAUAAAGGGGUUGAUGUUGGUAUUGUUGAGUGCAUGGAGUUCCCAUUGUCACUAAAUACUUUAGCUGAUAGAAUUCCGGGUCUAGAUCAGACUCUUUCUAGAAGGUUAUUUGAAUUCUUUAAGGAAAAUGGUUUUAUUGAUUCAAAUGGAUAUAUGAGGAAAGAUGGACGUCAAAUAAAAUGGAAAAAGAUUCUUGAGGAGAAGAAAACUCUUUUGCUGGAUAAGCAUCUUGUCCCUCAUAUACAGGAGGAGCUAAACCAUGCAUUUGCUUACCAUGAGAUGACCAGCAUGCAUUCUGACCAAAUCUUUAAGUGGUUUGAAUCUCAUAUGAGCUGAUCGGACCAUACUUGCAAUACUCUCUGGUGCUUAAAUUGCUAUCUGCUGUAAAAAAAAAUUGCAGCCAACAGGACUGCUAUGUAAUUAAAACCCACUUGUAUUCAAAGAGAUUGGGGACCUAUCCUUCCUCUUAUUUUACUAGAAAUCAAUCAGAGAUACAGUUACUCACGUGUAAAGAUUUCUGUAGUGGUUACUUUAUCAGAUACCCAGUCUCAAGGGCUGGAAUUUCUUAAUUGGAUGUUACUGUCAGAAGUUAUCAAUUUGAAAGGCAAGACAUAUGGAUGAAUUAAUAUUCCUUGUUUGUUGUCAGAACUGCUUAAAAUCUUUUGGGACUUCAAAAUUAUAUGCAAAUUCUAAUGUCAGGGAUUCUUAAAAUUGAAGUUUUAUGUCAUGU